rfam:Tupaia chinensis contig144888, whole genome shotgun sequence.
CUUUAAGUGUAAGUAUAUCCCAAGUCCUAUUUGGGAUAUACUUACACUAAAA